rnacentral:sRNA from 1 species
UGUGAGUGCAGGCACAUUAGUGCAGAGGGUGCAGUGGCCUGUGAGUGCAGGUACAUUAGUGCAGAGGAGUGCAGUGGGCCUGUGAGUGCAGGUACAUUAGUGCAGAUAUGUGCAGUGGGCAUGUGAGGCAGUAAAUUAGUGCAGAGUUGUUCAGUGGGCCUCUGAGGUGCAGGUACAUUAGUGAAGAGGAGUGCACUGGGCCAUGAGUGCAGGUACAUUAGUGCAGAGGUGUGCAGUGGGCCUGCGUGCAGAUACAUUUAGUGCAGAGGUGUGCAGUGGGCCUGUGAUGCAGGUUCCUUAGUGCAGAGGUGAGAAGUGGGCCUGUGAGUGCAGGCACAUUAGUGCAGAGUGUUCAGUUGGCAUGAGAGUGCAGGUACAUUAGUGAAGAAGUGUGCAGUGCUCCUGUGAGUGCAGGUAUAUAGUGCAGAGGUGUGCAGUGGGCCAGUGAGUGAAAGUACAUUGAGUGCAGAGGUGUCCAGUGGGUCUGUAGUGCAGGUACAUUAGUGCAGAGGUGUGCAGUGGGACCUCUGAGUUCAGGUAUGUUAGUGCAGAUGUGUGCAGUGGCCUGUG